rnacentral:rRNA from 1 species
UUUGGUGGUUAUAGAGUAGGGGAAACACCCGAUCCCAUUCCGAACUCGUUCGUUAAGCCCUACAUCGCCGAUGGUACUGCACACAAGAGUGUGGGAGAGUAGGUCACUGCCAAUU